GACGAACGCUGGCGGCGUGCUUAACACAUGCAAGUCGAACGGAAAGGCCCUGCUUUUGUGGGGUGCUCGAGUGGCGAACGGGUGAGUAACACGUGAGUAACCUGCCCUUGACUUUGGGAUAACUUCAGGAAACUGGGGCUAAUACCGGAUAGGAGCUCCUGCUGCAUGGUGGGGGUUGGAAAGUUUCGGCGGUUGGGGAUGGACUCGCGGCUUAUCAGCUUGUUGGUGGGGUAGUGGCUUACCAAGGCUUUGACGGGUAGCCGGCCAGAGAGGGUGACCGGCCACAUUGGGACUGAGAUACGGCCCAGACUCCUACGGGAGGCAGCAGUGGGGAAUAUUGCACAAUGGGCGGAAGCCUGAUGCAGCAACGCCGCGUGCGGGAUGACGGCCUUCGGGUUGUAAACCGCUUUCGCCUGUGACGAAGCGUGAGUGACGGUAAUGGGUAAAGAAGCACCGGCUAACUACGUG
rnacentral:rRNA from 1 species